rnacentral:rRNA from 1 species
GGGUUGUGAGGUUAAGCGAAUAAGCGUACACGGUGGAUGCCUAGGCAAUCAGAGGCGAUGAAGGACGUGCUAAUCUGCGAAAAGCGUCGGUAAGGUGAUAUGAACCGUUAUACCCGACGAUAUCCGAAUGGGGAAACCCAGUAUCCAAUGGAUACUAUCAUUAACUGAAUCCAUAGGUUAAUGAGGCGAACCGGGAGAACUGAAACAUCUCAGUACCCCGAGGAAAAGAAAUCAACCGAGAUUCCCCUAGUAGCGGCGAGCGAACGGGGAGCAGCCCAGAGUCUUAAUCAAUAGCAGUGUCAGGAGAACGGUCUGGAAAGUCCGGCAGUAAAGGGUGAUAGCCCCGUAUCUGAAGAUGCUGUUAUUGUGAACUCGACGAGUAGGGCGGGACACGUGUUAUCCUGUCUGAAUAUGGGGGGACCAUCCUCCAAGGCUAAAUACUCCUGAUUGACCGAUAGUGAACCAGUACCGUGAGGGAAAGGCGAAAAGAACCCCGGCGAGGGGAGUGAAAAAGAACCUGAAACCGUGUACGUACAAGCAGUAGGAGCCCUCUUUAUGGGGUGACUGCGUACCUUUUGUAUAAUGGGUCAGCGACUUAUAUUCUGUAGCAAGGUUAACCGUAUAGGGGAGCCGUAGGGAAACCGAGUCUUAACUGGGCGAAUGAGUUGCAGGGUAUAGACCCGAAACCCGGUGAUCUAUCCAUGGGCAGGUUGAAGGUUGGGUAACACUAACUGGAGGACCGAACCGACUAAUGUUGAAAAAUUAGCGGAUGACUUGUGGAUGGGGGUGAAAGGCCAAUCAAACCGGGAGAUAGCUGGUUCUCCCCGAAAGCUAUUUAGGUAGCGCCUCGUGAACUCAUCUUCGGGGGUAGAGCACUGUUUCGACUAGGGGGUCAUCCCGACUUACCAACUCGAUGCAAACUGCGAAUACCGAAGAAUGUUAUCACGGGAGACACACGGCGGGUGCUAACGUCCGUCGUGAAGAGGGAAACAACCCAGACCGCCAGCUAAGGUCCCAAAGUCAUGGUUAAGUGGGAAACGAAGUGGGAAGGCUCAGACAGCCAGGAUGUUGGCUUAGAAGCAGCCAUCAUUUAAAGAAAGCGUAAUAGCUCACUGGUCGAGUCGGCCCGCGCGGAAGAUGUAACGGGGCUAAACCAUGCACCGAAGCUGCGGCAGCGACACAUAGUGUUGUUGGGUAGGGGAGCGUUCUGUAAGCCUGCGAAGGUGUACUGUGAGGUAUGCUGGAGGUAUCAGAAGUGCGAAUGCUGACAUAAGUAACGAUAAUGCGGGUGAAAAACCCGCACGCCGGAAGACCAAGGGUUCCUGUCCAACGUUAAUCGGGGCAGGGUGAGUCGACCCCUAAGGCGAGGCUGAAAAGCGUAGUCGAUGGGAAACGGGUUAAUAUUCCCGUACUGGUGGUAACUGCGAUGGGGGAACGGAGAAGGCUAGGUUGUCCGGGCGACGGUCGUCCCGGUUCAAGCAGGUAGGCAGAGUGAUUAGGCAAAUCCGGUCACUUAAUGCUGAGAUGUGAUGACGAACCACCAAGGUGGUGAAGCAAUUGAUGCCCCGCUUCCAGGAAAAGCCUCUAAGCUUCAGGUUACCAACAAUCGUACCCCAAACCGACACAGGUGGUCAGGUAGAGAAUACUCAGGCGCUUGAGAGAACUCGGGUGAAGGAACUAGGCAAAAUGGUGCCGUAACUUCGGGAGAAGGCACGCUGGCGGUAGGUAAAGUCCCUCGCGGACGGCGCUGAAGCCAGUCGAAGAUACCAGCUGGCUGCAACUGUUUAUUAAAAACACAGCACUGUGCAAACACGAAAGUGGACGUAUACGGUGUGACGCCUGCCCGGUGCUGGAAGGUUAAUUGAUGGGGUCAGCCGUAAGGCGAAGCUCCUGAUCGAAGCCCCAGUAAACGGCGGCCGUAACUAUAACGGUCCUAAGGUAGCGAAAUUCCUUGUCGGGUAAGUUCCGACCUGCACGAAUGGCGUAAUGAUGGCCAGGCUGUCUCCACCCGAGACUCAGUGAAAUUGAACUCGCUGUGAAGAUGCAGUGUACCCGCGGCAAGACGGAAAGACCCCGUGAACCUUUACUAUAGCUUGACACUGAACAUUGAGCCUUGAUGUGUAGGAUAGGUGGGAGGCUUUGAAGUGUGGACGCCAGUCUGCAUGGAGCCAACCUUGAAAUACCACCCUUUAACGUUUGAUGUUCUAACCUAGGCCCAUAAACUGGGUCGGGGACCGUGUCUGGUGGGUAGUUUGACUGGGGCGGUCUCCUCCUAAAGAGUAACGGAGGAGCACGAAGGUUGGCUAAGCAUGGUCGGACAUCAUGCGGUUAGUGCAAAGGCAUAAGCCAGCUUGACUGCGAGAGUGACGGCUCGAGCAGGUACGAAAGUAGGUCUUAGUGAUCCGGUGGUUCUGAAUGGAAGGGCCAUCGCUCAACGGAUAAAAGGUACUCCGGGGAUAACAGGCUGAUACCGCCCAAGAGUUCAUAUCGACGGCGGUGUUUGGCACCUCGAUGUCGGCUCAUCACAUCCUGGGGCUGAAGUAGGUCCCAAGGGUAUGGCUGUUCGCCAUUUAAAGUGGUACGCGAGCUGGGUUUAGAACGUCGUGAGACAGUUCGGUCCCUAUCUGCCGUGGGCGUUGGAAGAUUGAGAGGGGUUGCUCCUAGUACGAGAGGACCGGAGUGAACGCACCACUGGUGUUCGGGUUGUCAUGCCAAUGGCAUUGCCCGGUAGCUAAGUGCGGAAGAGAUAACCGCUGAAAGCAUCUAAGCGGGAAACUUGCCUCGAGAUGAGUCUUCCCUGUCACUUUAAGUGACCUAAAGGAACGUUUAAGACUAAGACGUUGAUAGGCUGGGUGUGUAAGCGUAGCGAUACGUUGAGCUAACCAGUACUAAUGAACCGUGAGGCUUAACCUGACAACACCG